CUACGGGUAGUUGGUGGAUGCCUUGGCGCUAGGAGCCGAUGAAGGACGUGAUGGUCUGCGAAAAGCCUCGGGGAGUUGACGAAUAAGCGUUGAUCCGGGGAUGUCCGAAUUGGGAAACCAGGCUGGGGUCAUGCCCAGUCAUUCCGGUCUGAACACAUAGGGCCGGUAAAGGAAACCGAGGGAAUUGAAACAUCUCAGUACCUCGAGGAAAAGAAAGCAACAGCGAUUCCCUGAGUAGCGGCGAGCGAAACGGGAACAGCCCAAACCAGUGCGGUGUCAAAGGUCGACGCCGUUGCCGUGCUGGGGUUGUGGGACUCAUCGGACGGGACGUCGAUACCGUCAAAGAGUUACAAACUCAUCAGAUAGCCGAAUCCCGCUGGAAAGCGGAGCCGCAGGAGGUAAAAGCCCCGUAGGUAAAAUCUAGGUGAGCUCUUGAUGAUGUUCCCAAGUAGCACGGGGCACGUGAAAUCCCGUGUGAAUCUGCCAGGACCACCUGGUAAGGCUAAAUACUACCUAGCGACCGAUAGCGGAUAGUACCGUGAGGGAACGGUGAAAAGUACCCCGGUGAGGGGAGUGAAACAGUACCUGAAACCAAUUACUUACAAGCAGUAGGAGGGAUCUUCGGAUCCUGACUGCCUGCCUUUUGAAGAAUGAGCCUACGAGUUAUCGAUGUGUGGCAAGGUUAAGCCGAGAGGUGUAGCCGCAGCGAAAGCAAGUCUUAAUAGGGCGUCUAGUCGCAUGUCAUAGACCCGAAGCCGAGUGAUCUAUCCAUGGGCAGGGUGAAGCGAGGGUAAGACCUCGUGGAGGCCCGAACCCACCAAGGUUGAAAACUUGGGGGAUGACCUGUGGAUAGGGGUGAAAGGCCAAACAAACUCGGCGAUAGCUGGUUCUCCCCGAAAUAGCUUUAGGGCUAGCGUCGUAUGUUCCACCGUGGAGGUAGAGCACUGAUUGGGUUAGGGGGCCAACAAGCUUACCGACCCCAGUCAAACUCCGAAUCCCAUUGCGCUAAGUACAGCAGUCAGACCAUGUGGGAUAAGCUUCAUGGUCGAAAGGGAAACAGCCCAGACCGCCAGUUAAGGUCCCAAAAUCAACACUAAGUGGGGAACGAUGUAGGGUUGCCCAAACAGCCAGGAGGUUGGCUUAGAAGCAGCCAUUCCUUUAAAGAGUGCGUAACAGCUCACUGGUCGAGUGAUCCCGCGCGGAUGAUGUAACGGGGCUCAAGUGUUGUACCGAAACUGCGGAUUCACGUUAUCAACCCCGGCCUUCGCGGUCCAGGGAACGUGAGUGGUAGAGGAGCGUCGAAUGUCCAUCGAAGCGGCGGCGGAAGCCAGUCGUGGAGGGCAUUCGAGUGAGAAUGUAGGCAUGAGUAGCGAAUGAAGAGUGAGAAUCUCUUCCGCCGAAUGUCCAAGGUUUCCUGGGGAAGGCUCGUCCGCCCAGGGUUAGUCGGGACCUAAGGUGAGGCCGAGAGGCGUAAUCGAUGGAUAACCGGUUGAUAUUCCGGUACCACUCUAUGAGCGCCCAGGCCGAAUCUGGUUUGCUAAGGAAAGCCCUUCGGGGCCUACCGACCCAGCCAGUAGUAGGUCAGCGAUGGAGUGACGGGGAAGGCUAGACGGACCCGGGCGAUGGUAGUUCCCGGGGCAAGCGUGUGGGCGAGAUCCAGGCAAAUCCGGAUCUCAUCAAGCCUGAGGCGUGAUGCCGAGCCGAUUUAGGCGAAGCCGUUGAAGCCAUACCUCCAAGAAAAACUUCUAGCGAGCACAUAGGGUGCCCGUACCCCAAACCGACACAGGUGGACAGGUAGAGAAUACCAAGGCGAGCGAGAUAACUCUGGUUAAGGAAUUCGGCAAAAUAGUUCCGUAACUUCGGGAGAAGGAACGCCCCGGUAAAGUGGAAAGACUUCGCGUCUUAAGCUUGAGGGGGCCGCAGAAACCAGACCCAAGCGACUGUUUACCAAAAACACAGCAGGGUGCUAAGUCGCAAGACGAUGUAUACCCUGUGACGCCUGCCCGGUGCUGGAAGGUCAAGUGGAUAGGUUAGCUUCGGCGAAGCUUUGAAACUAAGCCCCAGUAAACGGCGGCCGUAACUAUAACGGUUAGUUACCUAACUGGCCGUGGAUAAACCUUGCUAUAUGCUGGAACAUCCGUGUAUCCGGCGGUACUCGCUCAGGAAACUGAGCAGUGAUAACCCGUCCGGUGCGGACAAUCAGCAGGAAACCCGAAAGGGGAUCCUCAGAGACUGCACGCGAGGCGCCACCAAGCGGUGGUAAAGAUACAGUCCGAUCCUCAUGGCGACAUGGGGAGCCAGACAGAAAUGAUCUGGCCACCAGCCCCUGAGGCUGGGAGUAACAACAUGCCUAAGGUAAAGGGAACCCCCUAGAGGCAAAGGGGGGCUGCCCCUCCCGCCGGUGACGGCGGUGAGUGCAGCUGGCCAUAUGCUGGAAAACCCGGUGCAUCCAUCCGGUACUCGUUCACUUCUUGUCACACCCAAUGGGUAUUGAUGAGAUAUGAGCAGUGACAAUCCGAUGGCGGGUGGCGCGCAAGGCGCCACGCCGGAAAAUCAGCAGGAAAGACUUGAGGACAUUGGAUGGGUCGUCGGGUUCGUCGAUGGCGAAGGGUGCUUCAGUGCCCCCGUCGUCAAGAGCCCAAAGAUGACUCUCGGCUGGCAGGUACAACCUGCUUUUGCCGUUGUCCAAGGAGCUUCCAGUAGACAGGUCCUGGACGAUCUCGUUGAUUUCUUCAACUGUGGAGCGGUCUAUCUGAAUCGUCGCCAUGACAACCAUAAGGAGGAUCUCCUUAGGUACACGGUGAACGCUCGGAGAGAUCUUGUAGGACGGAUAAUCCCGUUCUUCCGUCAGCAUCAGCU
rnacentral:rRNA from 1 species